AUGUUCCAGUCGCUUAUAAAAACGAAGCAUAACUCACAUAACUAGUAUUAUGCGCUACUAAAAAAAUGCAAGCAACAUAAGUUAGGCAGUAAACAUUAAUAUUUGGUGAUCGCGAAAGGAAAAACAAGUUUUGCAGACGACCCCGCCUCCCUGUCGCGGUGCUCAGACUGUUAAAUUGUAUCCAAAUAGUAGAGAAGGAGCAAAAACACUGUGGUUAAAAUGUCUAGGAGGAUAAUAGUAUUUCACCAACCUUUGUACUUUUGGCGUUGCAGCAGGUCUAUAUAUAUAAAGUUGCUGAUGAUCCCUCUCGUGGAGGAGACUGCUUGUUAAACCGCUCGAAGUGCGCACAGCAGAGAGGAGCUGAGCCCUGCACAGACUGCUGAGGCGCACAUUCUCCGCGUCCACGGCGCGCGCUCCAGCGCGAAACCACUUAACUUCCUGAACCAGAUUGGCUUCGUUGCCUUUUCUCGGUUACUAAACAGUAGUGAGGAUGUGGCCUGAGCAGAGAGCCCAAUGUGCUGUGAGGAGUCCCGCGUGUCACGUUCGUGGGAUCUUUCUGCUUCUCCUGCUUGUCAUGGUUCAGAUGAUAAUCUCCUUGGUGCCUUUUGAUGGUGUGUUCAUUCGCUCUGAUAAAGUCCUCAUCAGCCCCUACAGAUUCUGUCAGAUCCAACAAACUGGUGAAUGGUCCUGUGAUAAUGUGUAUAAGAGUCACCUGUACGAGCGAUCGCAAUCCCAAGGAGCUGAAGCUGAGACUUUAUCUAAGCCACAUUCUAACUCUGUCAGAGUAGCGGUUUACCUAGCUGUGUAUGUUCCAGUGAUUAUUGUGGCGUUUGCCCUGAUGGGCAUGCAUUCAGUCAUCUCUGACAAAGACGAACCUGCUAUCUUUUGCAGCACGACUUUCCAGGUCGGAGCAGCCUUGCUCACCCUGGCUGGCCUUUUCAGUUUUUUGUUUGUCUAUCAGUCAUAUGUGAGCUGGCAAAACAUAACCGUUUGGUUCUAUAUCUAUUUGGGUGUGGUGAUAGAGCUGGCUAUCACAUCUGUACUGACCCAUGUGUUAGGUAAGCGACUGAGAUCAUACUGGGAAUGCAGCGAAAUGCUUAAGCUCAUCCCUGCUUAAAUGCAAACAUGAGCCACUUUGCAGUUUAAAUAAAGCGAUUAAUGUUGUGAUCAUAUCACAAAGACCUUUGAGUGGUCAGUAAAACUAGAAAAGUACUAUAUUAAUGCAAUUACACAUAAAUCUACUUAGGAGAAUAUGUUGAUUGCUGGUGCUGCAAUAUCACUUUGUAUCUCUUUACCAAGUGGUUUAUGAAAGCCAACACACAUAAUGUAUAACACAACAAAAAAUAUGGUCUGAGUCUGAAAUGCACAGCUGGUGGAUGCAUGAGUGGUACCCUAAUUGUGCUGACAGUUAUUUCUAUAUAAGCUGUAAGGAAUAAAGAAUAUAUGUAUUUUUUCAAAGUGUGUUCUUAUAUCUGCUACCUCAUAUAUUCAAGGAGCAACAGUAAUGUGAUUUCUGUAACUACAAUUUCUAGCUAAUUCACAUGAAUAACAGUAUGCUUUAUGUUUUGGCAGUUUAAUGCAAAAGCAAGGCUUUUUUCAAGUUCCCCCCCCCCACAGAACAAGGCCACUUGUACUGCAGCAGUACCAUGCUCAGGGUACUUGCAGGAACUUGUUAGGUCUUCUGGUGGAAACAUUUCUAACACCAAACCUUUGUGGUGAAAAACCCACAGAUGCUGUCAGUUUCAUAUACAGUGUCAUGCAUGUGAAAACAAAAAACUUUUUUUUUUUUCUUCCCCCCAUUAAAACCUUCAGUAAACCUAAAAAAAAUGCCAUGUUUUCAAUUUUAGUGUUUGGAACCAAGUGAGAAAAAGAACAAACACAACACUUAAGUAACUGUCACACUGUAAGAUACUAAAAUAAGUAGUUCCUCUCACGCGAGGUGCUAGAUGCUGCCACUGAAACAUAGACUGAAGUGCUGAAAUUUGAUUUCAGUACAGAAGCUUUGGUGAAUUAAUUACUUGUCUCCUUCUCUGGAUGUAGUCCUGUAAAGCGCUGCUGGGAUGUACCUCUCUGAGACACCAAUUAAUGGAUCCAUUCUCCAAACUGUUUCUUUGUGGAUGAGCUGCCAGCUAUGUGUCCUCAAGUACUGACUGGACUCUCACCUGAAUUCGUAAUUUAGGAAGCAUUCCCCCAACUGACACUUUUCGACUUAAUGCAAAAACUUUUUAGUGUCAAUUAGAUAAGUUAAUCAGCUGAAAAAAAUUUCCCGUACAAGGCGUAAGGCGUCGCUGUCCUCAGCUGCUGUCUGGGGUGAUUCAUGCGUCUUCCCAGCCUCCAAAUCCUCAACUGUUCCUGAAUGCCGACGCUCAGAUGUUUGAUGCUGCCGGCUGCUGGUGUACGGUAAUGUUUCUACCGCUGUAAUGUCCAAGUCUGAUUCUGAAACAUACGUCAAAUCCAGAUCUUCAGUGCAGUCUGAUGGGGACUCCUCUGCAGCAACUGGAUUCACUGUCAGCUGUGAAUUUGUGGAUUUCCCCAUCUUCUUAACUGUGUCCACUGCUUUUUGUUUACCCUGGGUGUGGGAGAAGGGGAGAUCAAGCAAAUAUUCCACGACAGUUAAGAGAGUAACCCACAUGUGAUGAUUAAGAGUUUAACUGCACACAGGAAUAUUGGAUAGAAUGGACUUUCACAUCAUUAUAUUGCACGUAUAGGGCAUGUAGGGAAAAAAAAAUCAAAGGUCUGAAAAGAGAAGCAGCACCACCUGCUGGUGAGUCACGAGUGUCAGCUCCUCACAUGAGCCGUUUGUGACAUAGGAAACAGCUGCUUCUACCAGCUCUUGCUCGUUCAUACAGUAGAAAGCAGACCUGGGAACAUAUAAGUGGAUUGGAUGAGAACAGGUUCACCCUGAACACAUGUGACAGCUGUGAAAUGGUCUGAAAAAGCUGUGGAGAACAUUGUGCAUCUAAAGGAAUCUAUACCAUUGACUGGUCUCCUCGUUUGCCUGACCUAAAUCCAACAGAACAUCUCUGGGACAUUAUGUUUUGCUACGUCCGACACCACCAGGUUGCAUCUCAAACUGUCCAGGAGCUCAGCGACGCCCCGGUCCACAUCUGGGAGGUGUUCCCCCAAGACACCAUCUGUUGUCUCAUUAGGAGCACUGACAUUAUCAGGCAUGCAUACAAGCACAUGGGGGCCAUACCAACUACUGAGUAACAUUUUUAUUUGCUGUGACUAGCCUGGUGCAUCAUUUUUUCACUUUCA
ensembl:lncRNA